GAUGAACGCUGGCGGCGUGCCUAAUACAUGCAAGUCGAGCGAACAGACGAGGAGCUUGCUCCUCUGACGUUAGCGGCGGAGGGGAGAGUAACAUGUGGAUAACCUACCUAUAAGACUGGGAUACCUUCGGGAAACCGGUGCUAAUACCGGAGAAUAUAUUGAAACGAAUGGGUCAAUAGUGAAAGACGGUUUUGCUGUCACUUAUAGAUGGAUCCGCGCCGCAUUAGCUAGUUGGUAUGGUAACGGCUUACCAAGGCAACGAGUCGUAGCCGAUCUGAGAGGGUGAUCGGCCACACUGGAACUGAGACACGGUCCAGACUCCUACGGGAGGCAGCAGUAGGGAAUCUUCCGCAAUGGGCGAAAGCUUGACCCAGCAACGCCGCGUGAUUGAUGAAGGUCUUCGGAUCGUAAAACUCUGUUAUUAGGGAAGAACAAAUUUGUAAGUAACUAUGCACGGCUUGACGGUACCUAAUCAGAAAGCCACGGCUAACUACGUG
rnacentral:rRNA from 1 species